rnacentral:rRNA from 1 species
ACGGAAGGCAGCAGUGGGGAAUAUUGGGCAAUGGGCGAAAGCCUGACCCAGCAACGCCGCGUGAAGGGAGAAGGUCUUCGGAUUGUAAACUUCUUUUAUCAGGGACGAAGGAAGUGACGGUACCUGAUGAAUAAGCCACGGCUAACUACGUACCAGCAGCCGCGGUAAUACGUAGGUGGCAAGCGUUAUCCGGAUUUACUGGGUGUAAAGGGCGCGUAGGCGGGGAUGCAAGUCAGAUGUGAAAUCCAUGGGCUUAACUCAUGAACUGCAUUUGAAACUGCAUCUCUUGAGUGUCGGAGAGGUAGAUGGAAUUCCUAGUGUAGCGGUGAAAUGCGUAGAUAUUAGGAGGAACACCAGUGGCGAAGGCGAUCUACUGGACGAUAACUGACGCUGAGGCGCGAAAGCGUGGGGAGCAAACAGGAUUAGAUACCCUGGUA